rnacentral:rRNA from 1 species
CAGUAGCCACGGGAAUACGUAGGUGGCAAGCGUUGUCCGGAAUUAUUGGGCGUAAAGGGCUCGCAGGCGGCUUCUUAAGUCUGAUGUGAAAGCCCCCGGCUCAACCGGGGAGGGUCAUUGGAAACUGGGAAACCUGAGUGCAGAAGAGGAGAGUGGAAUUCCACGUGUAGCGGUGAAAUGCGUAGAGAUGUGGAGGAACACCAGUGGCGAAGGCGACUCUCUGGUCUGUAACUGACGCUGAGGAGCGAAAGCGUGGGGAGCGAACAGGAUUAGAUACCCCUGUAGUCCCUGUCUCUUAUAC